UACGUAGGGUGCAAACGUUGCUCGGAAUCAUUGGGCGUAAAGCGCACGUAGGCGGCUUUGCAAGUCGGAUGUGAAAUCCCUCGGCUCAACCAAGGAAGUGCAUCCGAAACUGCAGAGCUUGAGUACUUAAGAGGAUCGCGGAAUUCCCGGUGUAGAGGUGAAAUUCGUAGAUAUCGGGAGGAACACCAGUGGCGAAGGCGGCGAUCUGGGAAGAUACUGACGCUGAGGUGCGAAAGCGUGGGGAGCAAACAGG
rnacentral:rRNA from 1 species